rnacentral:sRNA from 1 species
CAGAUUCUCCCGGACCCACGUGGAAGCGGCACUCAAGAUGCUGCGCCGCGAGGCCCGCCUGCGCCGCGAGUACCUGUACCGCAAGGCCCGGGAGGAGGCGCAGCGCUCAGCCCAGGAGAGGAAGGAGCGGCUGCGGCGCGCGCUGGAAGAAAACCGCCUGAUUCCCACUGAGAUACGCCGAGAGGCUCUGGCCUUACAGGGGUCCCUGGAGUUUGAUGAUGCCGGAGGUGAAGGUGUGACCAGCCACGUGGAUGAUGAAUACCGAUGGGCAGGAGUCGAGGAUCCCAAGGUUAUGAUCACUACCUCCCGAGACCCCAGUUCCCGCCUCAAGAUGUUUGCAAAGGAGCUGAAGCUGGUGUUCCCGGGCGCCCAGCGAAUGAACCGAGGUCGACAUGAAGUGGGGGCACUGGUGCGAGCCUGCAAAGCCAACGGCGUCACCGAUCUGCUGGUCGUUCACGAGCAUCGGGGCACACCUGGUGAGGCCGGAGGGAGGGAGUCGGGGUGGGAGCCGUCUGAGGGCAGACGGGGUCUCUGACAGCCACCUUUCCCUGCCAGUGGGGCUCAUCGUCAGCCACCUGCCCUUUGGUCCUACUGCCUACUUCACGCUGUGCAAUGUGGUCAUGCGGCAUGACAUCCCAGACCUGGGCACCAUGUCGGAGGCCAAGCCCCACCUCAUCACACACGGCUUCUCCUCCCGCCUGGGCAAGCGGGUCUCUGACAUCCUCCGAUACUUAUUUCCCGUGCCCAAAGAUGACAGCCACCGGGUCAUUACCUUCGCAAACCAGGACGACUACAUAUCAUUCCGGCACCACGUGUACAAGAAGACAGACCACCGCAACGUGGAGCUCACUGAGGUCGGGCCCCGCUUUGAGCUGAA